rnacentral:rRNA from 1 species
GACGAACGCUGGCGGCGUGCUUAACACAUGCAAGUCGAACGGUAAGGCCCUUCGGGGUACACGAGUGGCGAACGGGUGAGUAACACGUGGGUGAUCUGCCCUGCACUUCGGGAUAAGCCUGGGAAACUGGGUCUAAUACCGGAUAGGACCACUGCCUGCAUGGGUGGUGGUGGAAAGCUUUUGCGGUGUGGGAUGGGCCCGCGGCCUAUCAGCUUGUUGGUGAGGUAAUGGCUUACCAAGGCGACGACGGGUAGCCGGCCUGAGAGGGCGACCGGCCACACUGGGACUGAGACACGGCCCAGACUCCUACGGGAGGCAGCAGUGGGGAAUAUUGGGCAAUGGAGGAAACUCUGACCCAGCGACGCCGCGUGCGGGAUGAAGGCCUUCGGGUUGUAAACCGCUUUCAGCAGGGAAGAAGCGAAAGUGACGGUACCUGCAGAAGAAGCACCGGCUAACUAUGUGCCAGCCGCCGCUGUAA